rnacentral:lncRNA from 1 species
UACCAUACGGUAAAUUUGAAGUACAAGCUGUCAAUCUUUUCAAGAAAACAAUAUGUGUUUGCUUCUUUAAGAAAGGAAAAGUAUCAGGAACUCUCACAAAAUAUUCUGCAAACAAUUAUAAUUCAAGAAACAGAGAAGCAUGGCCUGAAGCAGAUCAACAACAUAAAACUUGACAACCUGUAUCAUUCCUAGGACUAAAUUAGGAGGAAACCAAAAAAAACAUCCAGAAUUUACAUGCCAACAGAGAACAAAUUGAUGACCAAACAAGACUUAGUUCUGGAGUACUAAUAAGAAAGAUAGAUACAUGGAUGAUGGUUAAGCGUCAUAGAUAACUUAGUAGAUACAUGGAUGAUGGAUAACUCGUCAGGCCCAUGGAGCUAUCACAGCAUGGAUAACUCGUCAGGCAUAACAUAGCUGCAACCAACACAAGAGAGGUGUUCUAGAUAAAUAGAUACAUAGGUAGACACAGAUAAGAAUCAAAUAGGGGAUCCCAUGCACUUACCUAAAAUUUGUCUUCGGAAGGUUUGUGCAUGGCUGGUGAAGGUUGCGGCUGAUGGGGCUAUCCACGGCUGUGACUCCGAGGCAGCCGGAUGGGGUAGGGGGCAGCAGACGGAUGGAGCUCGGGGGUGGCGGAUGGCCGAAGCUUGCUAUCGGGGUCGGCGGAUGGAUGUCCAGCUGCUACUUGCGGCUCUACGACUCAGAUCUUUGGCUUGGCAUCGCCGGAACCAACGACCAGAAGCCGCGCCAGUCCCCUACUGCGCGGUCCCCAGAGACCUCACCGGCGCACCCGAUACCGCGGCGGCUACCCGGCCUGGGCCUCCAUGCCGGCGGCAUCGUGGCACGGACAGGAGACCCUGCCUCGCGAGACGGAGGGAUCUGACGCUGCCACCACUCGAAGACUCCCUCCCGUGUGCUCCCGUGAACCAAAUCGGGAAGAUCAGGGGAUAUGAGGCUGGAGGAGGUGGAGCUCGGGAUGGGAGAUGAAGAGGGCACGGGCAUAGGCGGCGGCAUGUAGUGUAUUUGGCGGAGAAAGAGGCGGCGGCGGAGCAGCAGGGAAGAGGCAGGGGUUGAAGGAGAGGAUAGGAAAGAGAGAGAGGGGUCGCGUGUGUUGGAAACCUUAGCGGGGAAGGAAACGAGAGCUAUUUUC